rnacentral:rRNA from 1 species
UACGAAGGGGGCUAGCGUUGUUCGGAAUCACUGGGCGUAAAGGGCGCGUAGGCGGCCGUUCAAGUCGGGGGUGAAAGCCUGUGGCUCAACCACAGAAUUGCCUUCGAUACUGGACGGCUCGAGACCGGAAGAGGUCAGUGGAACUGCGAGUGUAGAGGUGAAAUUCGUAGAUAUUCGCAAGAACACCAGUGGCGAAGGCGGCUGACUGGUCCGGUUCUGACGCUGAGGCGCGAAAGCGUGGGGAGCAAACAGG